UCCCUGGUGGCUAAGACAGUAAAGAAUCUGCCUGCAGUGCAGGAGACCCAGGUUCGAUCCCUGGCUUGGGAA
rfam:TPA: Bos taurus chromosome 26, whole genome shotgun sequence.